rnacentral:rRNA from 1 species
CAGUCGCCGCGGUAAUACGUAGGGUGCAAGCGUUAAUCGGAAUUACUGGGCGUAAAGCGUGCGCAGGCGGUUUGUUAAGACAGAUGUGAAAUCCCCGGGCUCAACCUGGGAACUGCAUUUGUGACUGGCAAGCUAGAGUCUGGCAGAGGGGGGUGGAAUUCCGCGUGUAGCAGUGAAAUGCGUAGAUAUGCGGAGGAACACCGAUGGCGAAGGCAGCCCCCUGGGCCAACACUGACGCUCAUGCACGAAAGCGUGGGGAGCAAACAGGAUUAGAUACCCGGGUAGUCCCUGUCUCUUAUAU